CAGAACACUGUUAAGAAAACGCUCGUGUGAUUUUUUAUUCUGAUUUUUAUCUGUGAAUUCUUGACAAUUUCCCUAAAACAUAAAUAAAUUUCCGUAAAACACGCGAUCGCGUUUGUGCGAUUAUUACACCGACGACUAUUAUUUCUCCAGUGGAGUUCGUGCUACGAUCACAACAUCGUUAAACCACUUUACCGAAUGCCUGGGCAAAUUGUAAAGAUUCGAAAAUAAUAAUAAAUAUGACGGGGCACGAUACACAUAAUAAUCAGAGGCGAAACUCGGAUUAUGGUCUAAUGCCUCGGAUCAUUUCUAUCUCCAAAACUCGUAUAACUACGACUGAAUUUCUUUUGCAACAGAAUAUUAAUAUAAUCGAACGGUCGAGUCAAUCUUCUGACUUGAAUACGCUUGAACAUCCGUGAGAUUACCUCAGACGUCAACUGGGAAGUUAAUCUUUUAAAAAUAUACAAAAAAGAACAAAAAAUUCCAAAAAUAUAAUGUGAAAUAUCGACUGCGUCUUGUGUUCGAUUAAUUGAAUAUUCAGUAGCCACGCAGAUACCAUGAUGCAAUCAUGAAACCGAAGAAUUACCAAUAUCUCACUCGAUUAUUCUCUACUUUUCUAGCUUUUGUUACAAGUUCCCGCACUAAAACCGUCGUGUUACAUAACUCGAGCAAAAAACGUUUCCUAACUCUCGUCCCAGCUUCUAUUUCGUUCAUCCGGUUCAACAUUAAUCGUAAACUCGCUCGACUAU